AACAUGUUGAAAUUAGAACAGGUCAUUUGCUAUCAAAAUGAUUAUUUUGAUAAUGACACCACAGUGAUGGUGGAGAGAAGGUUUUGGCAAGCUUAUUUUGUUUGAAUCCUGUUGGCCGUUUCAUUGUCAUUUCAUGUCAGGUGCAAGUUCUUUGUCUUUUUACCCUGUCAUAACAUCAUGAUCUUGGCAGAGACCCUGCCAGGUUACAGUUAAUCCAUUGAUCUAUUGUUGUUAUUCUUAGUUGCUGUAUUUAGAAUCUAUGCCUGUAACCAGGGAGUUCUUAGUCUGAUGUAAGAGACUGCCUCCAAAGAGCUAUGUGGAAAAUUUUCCCUUACCCCUUAAAUAUCUUUGUCUUUUCAAUGUGCAGAUCAGGUAGGUACUGCUCAUUCUUAAGAGUGUGAAGCCCAUCAGCAUUAUGUCCUAUGAUGUAAAAUUAAAACCAUUUAUCACAGACACUUGUAAAUUCAUGGCUGGAAAAUAUUUUUCUCAAGAUACGGAUUCUUAAUUCCAGGGAACAUUUUAGUGAAAGGAAAGUUUCCAUUAUAUGACUUAAAGACUUGAGAAGAAUUGACACUUGAAUUAGGUUGUUGAAAUGAACUUCUAAGCACCUUUGCUACUCAGACAUUAAAGACCGUCUUUGUUUAUAAGAUUGUAUAGGAUGACCAGGAGCAGCUAAAGGGAAUGUAGCCCAUGCUAGGUAUAAAUUAGUUAGCUUUUUUACUUGAAUACUAAAAUGCCUGUUUGCCAUAACUUAGAGGCCUCUAUUACUUACAUUAUUUCCUUUCUAACACAUUAAGUAUUAAUUACUACUCUAGAAUUGCUAAACAUGAUAGACUUUGCUUGGAAGCAGAUUGGUAACAUGUGAAAACAAAACAUCACAAAUAUUACAUGAUCUUCAUUCAGGACUAAGGGUCAAAACUUGGAUUUUAUAUAGUUGUAUGGAAUAGUCCUUUUUUUUGCAGAAUUUGUAUGGGAGUCUUAGUUUACAGUGUCUUUCUGUGGUAAGAAGUAUUGGCAGGAUGGAAAAGUAAAAUUAUGGAUCUUAUGGUGUUAGCAAUGCAUUCGAUGGAAGAGUAGAAGAAUGGUGGUAAGACGGUAAUUCAAGGUCAAAUUUACCUUGAUGUUGGUAUCUUUGCAUUAAAAAAAGUGUAUACUAUUCAGCAUUUUCCUAUAGUGGAAGCACUUAUUGUGUAAUGAAAAAUUCGCUAACUUAUUUGCAGUUGGCUUGGUGAUUUUUCCCUCUGUAUGCUGUCCCGAUUAUGACCAUAAAUUCAUAUUUAAAAUAAUUUGAAUUUAAUAUAUUUGGUUGACAAACCCCCUACAGCUUUACGAAGAAGAUUAGGUAAUUAUGUAGUAAAAUAAAAUCAACCAUUUAGCUUAGCUACCAUAACAUUUAGAUGUUAAGGCAGAUGGUUUGUGCUUUGAAUUAUUUGUUUAUUUUGCAUGUUAUAUCCUGUGAUCACCAAAAUACUUUGAGCAGCAAUCCAAGAAAAUUAUUAUUUAGUAAGUGUCACUUAGGAAAAAAUAUGUUUAGUGAAGCAAAGGCUGUCACAGAUCUUUUGGGAUUGUGUCUGGGAUAACCUUUCAGAUAUCCAUAUGA